CCUCCCCCCGGCCCAGUUCCUCUGUUUAGAUUCCCACUGCCAACCCGUAAUCCCUGUGUGGCUGGCACUGUUUGGGUCACAGGCAGUGCCUGGUGGGGGGCGGGGGGGGGGGUCAACUACCAACCAGCCCUGUCCAGGGGAGCUGCACCCAAGGGCCUUCGUCUGCUGGCAUCAGGGCGAGGGAGAGAAUCUCCCCCUCUUCCUUGCCAUUCACCUAGGAUCUGCCGGCCCUGUCCCAGGGCUCCCGUCUCUGCCUGGGAGCCAGGACUCCCUGGGUUGUCUCCCCAGCUCUGGGAGGAAAAAGGGGUUUAGUGAGUUGAAGCAGGAGGGUGGGGAGCUGCCGAGGCCUGUGCCUCUCCCCUUGUCGGCGCAGGCUUUGGCAGGCUGGUGCAUGGGCAGGGACCGAUCUUCAGCUUCCACAGGGUUUGGGGGGGCUUCAGCUCCACCGGUCAUGCCCCCCAUCCUUUCCCUCCAAUGGCAGGUCCAUGCCAUCUGCCGCCCUGGAGCUUGGGGGACCUGUCCCGGUCCCAGCGUGUUAAACUCCAGGCAGAGAGGCUGCCUACCUCUGCACACGGCCGCCCCUGCAGGGACAUGUCUGGGGUGGGGGCUGAAGACAAUCCCCUGCCUCCCCAGCAGGAGGUGCAGCGUGGUGCUUGGCGGGCUGUCCCCUGUGUGAUGGUCUGCGUGGCUGUUCCCCAGCUGCCCCACCCCAGAGGUGGCUGCCUCCCAGCACCAGCGAGCGAGUGCACUGGAGGAGAGAGGAAGGCAGCCGUGGUGACUCUUUUGCUGGGUGGCUGCUGCAGCUGUGAAUCAGGCUGUCCUCAAUCCCAGGCUGUCUUUGCACCUCUGAGCUCCCACUCCUGGUGGGGGGGGAGGCGGCGCCAGGCUCCCUCCCACCCUGGCUGGGUUAUUUUAUCUCUGCCGGGCGCCUCCCAAUCCAGCUGGCACCUUCCAAGCCUUACAGGGAGAUCAGACCCUUGAGACAAUGGUAUUGACCUUAUGGCUUCCCUGGGCCAGGGGAGAACCCAGGAGUCCUGGCUCCCAGCCCCCCCAGCUCUAACCACUAGCCCCCACUCUCCUCCCAGCACCAUGGCCCUGUCCUGCUGGAGCUGUGGGUUUGUGCCUCUGCUUCUUUUCCCCAGCUUGGGUGUUAAUCCACUUGCCAGUGGCGGGGAAUCCAGCUGCUGCCUGCAGAGAAGGGGGAGGGGACAGUGGGGAGGGCUGGCAGGAGCAGUGGGAGGGCCUAGGGUGACCCCGCUGGCUCAGCACUGGGCCGGCCCCCUAGGAGGAACAACACGGCUGCACCAGCAUGGAGGGGGGCCAGCAAGGCAGUGAGGACUGGUAGCUAGGGGCUGAGCGCCGGGACAGAGGGGUUAUGGGGUGGCUUAGUUCCUGCCCAGCGCUGACAUGCAGCCACCUCUGGGGCAGGUCAGCUGGGAAACAGCCAUACAUAACACAGCCCCGGGAGAGAGGAAAUGGAGCCCCCUCUGGGGCGGGGCGGGGCAGGGCGGCCAGGCCCCAUGGCACAGGGUGGCUUGAUCUCUCUCCCUGCAGUGUGGCUGGAAUCUCGGUUACAGCCCUGGGGGUGCAGCCCUGCUUCCUUGCCAUAGAGCCGAGAGGGAUUGGGGGGGGGGGUUGGCAGGCCGCCCCCUCCCCAGCAAGGGGUGGGGCGGUGUCAUGGGGGAUGGCUGACAACAAUGGGGAUAAUUAGCUCCUGCUCCCGGUAUGUCAAGAAUGCCUCCCCCGCAUGCCCAGUGCUGCCUGCCACCCUUCACCCCACCCCCGACACACAACCCCCCCGCCAGGUUUGGGGGGGGCAGCCCUCUGCAGAGGUAGAGCUGGCCUGUGGUGAGGGGCUCACUGUGAGGGCGCUCUCCCUGGCACUCACAGCUGGGGAGCUGCUGUGCUGCGGGGAGUGGGGCAGGGGGCGCUCUCCCCUGGCGCUCUGAGCUAGGCGCUGGGGGGCUGCAGUGCUGCAGGGAGUGGGGCAGGGAGCGCUCUCCCUUGGCACUCACAGCUGGGCGCUGGGGGGCUGCAGUGCUGUAAGGAGUAGGUCGGGGGGGCUCUCUCCCCUGGCACUCACAGCUGAGGGGCUGCGGCGCUACAGGGAGUGGGGCAGGGGGCGCUCUCCCCUGGCACUGGGCGCUGGGGGGCUGCGGCGCUGCAGGGAGUGGGGCAGGGGGCGCUCUCCCCUGGCACUCACAGCUGGGCGCUGGGGGGCUGCGGCGCUGCAGGGAGUGGGGCAGGGGGCGCUCUCCCCUGGCACUCACAGCUGGGCGCUGGGGGGCUGCGGCGCUGCAGGGAGUGGGGCAGGGGGCGCUCUCCCCUGGCACUCACAGCUGGGCGCUGGGGGGCUGCGGCGCUGCAGGGAGUGGGGCAGGGGGCGCUCUCCCCUGGCACUCACAGCUUGGUGCUGGGGGGCUGCGGCGCUGCAGGGAGUGGGGCAG